UCAGGCACCUGCAAACUCGGCCCUCCAGCUGUUUUGGGACUACAAUUACCUCAUCCUUGACCACUGGUCCUGUUAGCUAGGGAUGGUGGGAGUUGUAGUCCCAAAACAUCUGGAGGGCCGAGUUUGGGGGUGCCUGU